GAUGAACGCUGGCGGCGUGCCUAAUACAUGCAAGUCGAGCGAAGCGGGGACGGGUGAGUAACACGUGGAUAACCUCCUAUAAGACUGGGAUAACUUCGGGACACCGGAUCUAAACCCGAAACUUAUAGAUGGAUCCGCGCUGCAUUAGCUAGUUGGUAGGGUAACGGCUUACCAAGCCAACGAUGCAUUGCCGACCUGAGAGGGGUAUCGGCCACACUGGAACUGAGACACGGUCCAGACUCCUACGGGAGGCAGCAGUAGGGAAUCUUCCGCAAUGGGCGCAAGCCUGACGGAGCAACGCCGCGUGAGUGAUGAAGGUCUUCGGAUCGUAAAACUCUGUUAUUAGGGAAGCGGUACCUAGUCAGAAAGCCACGGCUAACUACGUGCCAGCAGCCGCGGUAAUAC
rnacentral:rRNA from 1 species